rnacentral:rRNA from 1 species
AGUAACGGCGAGUGAAGCGGCAACAGCUCAAAUUUGAAAUCUGGCUCUUUCAGAGUCCGAGUUGUAAUUUGCAGAGGGCGCUUUGGCUUUGGCAGCGGUCCAAGUUCCUUGGAACAGGACGUCACAGAGGGUGAGAAUCCCGUACGUGGUCGCUAGCUAUUGCCGUGUAAAGCCCCUUCGACGAGUCGAGUUGUUUGGGAAUGCAGCUCUAAAUGGGAGGUAAAUUUCUUCUAAAGCUAAAUAUUGGCCAGAGACCGAUAGCGCACAAGUAGAGUGAUCGAAAGAUGAAAAGCACUUUGGAAAGAGAGUCAAACAGCACGUGAAAUUGUUGAAAGGGAAGCGCUUGCAGCCAGACUUGCUUGCAGUUGCUCAUCCGGGCUUUUGCCCGGUGCACUCUUCUGCAGGCAGGCCAGCAUCAGUUUGGGCGGUGGGAUAAAGGUCUCUGUCAUGUACCUCUCUUCGGGGAGGCCUUAUAGGGGAGACGACAUACCACCAGCCUAGACUGAGGUCCGCGCAUCUGCUAGGAUGCUGGCGUAAUGGCUGUAAGCGGCCCGUCUUGAAACACGGACCAAGGAGUCUAACAUCUAUGCGAGUGUUUGGGUGUCAAGCCCGAGCGCGUAAUGAAAGUGAACGGAGGUGGGAACCCGCAAGGGUGCACCAUCGACCGAUCCUGAAGUUUACGGAAGGAUUUGAGUAAGAGCAUGGCUGUUGGGACCCGAAAGAUGGUGAACUAUGCUUGAAUAGGGUGAAGCCAGAGGAAACUCUGGUGGAGGCUCGCAGCGGUUCUGACGUGCAAAUCGAUCGUCAAA